GCUAAUAAACUUGACAAGGGAUCAAUCGAGGACCCCUUCAAUCUAAUAAUAAAUUCUGGAUCCAGGAUUGAUCUACAUCAACGACAAAAUUCCAAGCUAUGAUUACCUGUCUAUAAAUGAUCAAGAAUGAUGAUACUCUAAGAAGAAUAAGACAAAAUAAUGAAUGAUCACCCCUGAUGAUCAAGACGAUGAAGUUUACCAAGAUGCAGCAGAGUCCUCUGGCGGCAGUGGGUGAAACAGGAAAGCAGCUG
rnacentral:lncRNA from 1 species